GGAGAGGUGGCCGAGUGGCCGAAGGCGGCGGUUUGCUAAACCGUUAUACGGCUAAUAACCGUAUCGGGGGUUCGAAUCCCCCCCUCUCCGCCA
rnacentral:tRNA from 1 species